GACGAACGCUGGCGGCGUGCUUAACACAUGCAAGUCGAACGGAAAGGCCCUGCUUGCAGGGUACUCGAGUGGCGAACGGGUGAGUAACACGUGGGUGAUCUGCCCUGCACUUCGGGAUAAGCCUGGGAAACUGGGUCUAAUACCGGAUAGGAGCCAUUUUUAGUGUGAUGGUUGGAAAGUUUUUUCGGUGUAGGAUGAGCUCGCGGCCUAUCAGCUUGUUGGUGGGGUAAUGGCCUACCAAGGCGGCGACGGGUAGCCGGCCUGAGAGGGUGGACGGCCACAUUGGGACUGAGAGGCGGCCCAGGCUCCGACGGGAGGCAGCAGUGGGGAAUAUUGCACAAUGGGCGCAAGCCUGGUGCAGCGACGCCGCGUGGGGGAUGACGGCCUUCGGGUUGUAGACUCCUUUCGCUAGGGACGAAGCUUUUUGUGACGGUACCUAGAUAAGAAGCACCGGCUAACUACGUG
rnacentral:rRNA from 1 species